UUGAAGAGUUUGAUCAUGGCUCAGAUUGAACGCUGGCGGCAGGCCUAACACAUGCAAGUCGAGCGGUAGCACAGAGAGCUUGCUCUCGGGUGACGAGCGGCGGACGGGUGAGUAAUGUCUGGGAAACUGCCUGAUGGAGGGGGAUAACUACUGGAAACGGUAGCUAAUACCGCAUAACGUCGCAAGACCAAAGUGGGGGACCUUCGGGCCUCAUGCCAUCAGAUGUGCCCAGAUGGGAUUAGCUAGUAGGUGGGGUAACGGCUCACCUAGGCGACGAUCCCUAGCUGGUCUGAGAGGAUGACCAGCCACACUGGAACUGAGACACGGUCCAGACUCCUACGGGAGGCAGCAGUGGGGAAUAUUGCACAAUGGGCGCAAGCCUGAUGCAGCCAUGCCGCGUGUGUGAAGAAGGCCUUCGGGUUGUAAAGCACUUUCAGCGGGGAGGAAGGCGUUAAGGUUAAUAACCUUGUCGAUUGACGUUACCCGCAGAAGAAGCACCGGCUAACUCCGUGCCAGCAGCCGCGGUAAUACGGAGGGUGCAAGCGUUAAUCGGAAUUACUGGGCGUAAAGCGCACGCAGGCGGUCUGUCAAGUCGGAUGUGAAAUCCCCGGGCUUAACCUGGGAACUGCAUUCGAAACUGGCAGGCUAGAGUCUUGUAGAGGGGGGUAGAAUUCCAGGUGUAGCGGUGAAAUGCGUAGAGAUCUGGAGGAAUACCGGUGGCGAAGGCGGCCCCCUGGACAAAGACUGACGCUCAGGUGCGAAAGCGUGGGGAGCAAACAGGAUUAGAUACCCUGGUAGUCCACGCCGUAAACGAUGUCGAUUUGGAGGUUGUGCCCUUGAGGCGUGGCUUCCGGAGCUAACGCGUUAAAUCGACCGCCUGGGGAGUACGGCCGCAAGGUUAAAACUCAAAUGAAUUGACGGGGGCCCGCACAAGCGGUGGAGCAUGUGGUUUAAUUCGAUGCAACGCGAAGAACCUUACCUGGUCUUGACAUCCACAGAACUUUCCAGAGAUGGAUUGGUGCCUUCGGGAACUGUGAGACAGGUGCUGCAUGGCUGUCGUCAGCUCGUGUUGUGAAAUGUUGGGUUAAGUCCCGCAACGAGCGCAACCCUUAUCCUUUGUUGCCAGCGGUCGGCCGGGAACUCAAAGGAGACUGCCAGUGAUAAACUGGAGGAAGGUGGGGAUGACGUCAAGUCAUCAUGGCCCUUACGACCAGGGCUACACACGUGCUACAAUGGCAUAUACAAAGAGAAGCGACCUCGCGAGAGCAAGCGGACCUCAUAAAGUAUGUCGUAGUCCGGAUUGGAGUCUGCAACUCGACUCCAUGAAGUCGGAAUCGCUAGUAAUCGUAGAUCAGAAUGCUACGGUGAAUACGUUCCCGGGCCUUGUACACACCGCCCGUCACACCAUGGGAGUGGGUUGCAAAAGAAGUAGGUAGCUUAACCUUCGGGAGGGCGCUUACCACUUUGUGAUUCAUGACUGGGGUGAAGUCGUAACAAGGUAACCGUAGGGGAACCUGCGGUUGGAUCACCUCCUU
rnacentral:rRNA from 1 species